UCAAUUCUCUCAACCCUUCCCCUCCUCCGGUCAUCGGACCGGCCAUCAACCGUCACGCCGAUCACCGGCCACCGACGGCGGCGCCGCCGUCCACGGUGGCCGGAAAAUCUUCCGAGGCCUUUUUUCGCUUCUCUUCUCGAGUAGAGCCCGGAUUUGGGGUUAAAACGACCCAAAAACCUUCAAAAAUUAAUGAGAAGCACCCUAGAACUCAAGAAUCCAUUCGGUUUCCGGCCACUGAUUUUCGGCGGUGGCUUCCUCGGUCAUCCACGAUGUUGGAAAACUGAACACCGGUAAGUUCCUUCCCUCUUUCCUUUUUUUAUAUUUUUUGUAAGUUUUUUUUUGUUAAAAAUAUUUGUAAAAUAGAUAAAACGAACAAAUAGAAAGAAGAUAAAAAAUAAAUAAAUAAAAAUAAGGACAAACACCUUUUGAACUUGUUUUCUCCUUUUGAUUUCUCCCAAAAACCUCUGUAAUACAACCCUCUCUAAUACAAUCUCUUCUCUCCAAAAUACCAUCCAUUCCCCCCCCUUCUGGCACAAGGAACAUAGGGCUUUUAUAUAGCCCAAAAUCCAAAGAAAAAAAUACAAAGAAUUUUAUUUUUUGGUGUUUUUCUUUACUGUCCUUUUUUUUGUCUUGUUUUGCAGGUAUAGAGUGGUGGAGACAAGUGGGUGUGCUGGUGGCAGACAACUGGUAGUGGCGUAGGUGGCCAAGGUGGGGUGACGGCUAGGGUUCAUCACCACUUUUCUUUGCUGAAAAUUGCUUAGGUUUGGGUAAUUCUAAUUUGGGUUGGUUUUGGGUAUUGGGUUUGGGUAGGUUUAGUUAUUGUAAUUGGGUAGUUUUGAUUUUUGGGCUGUUUAACAUUGUAAAUGGACUUGGAAUUUAGUUGUGCGGAUUUUUUUUUUCUUGUUUGCUUGGGCCAAAAAUUGGCCAUUACAAAUGAAAAAGUCAUUUUGAU
rnacentral:lncRNA from 1 species